CAGAGCUCCUGCUGCUGCCCUGAGUUGAGGGUUAGGGCUAAUUUUAUAAGGCAUAGGUAUAUGAUUCAUCUCUUUACAAGACAAAGGAAAGAACAUGAAAAAAAGUUAAAAUGGUAUCGGUGCGGGUGGGGUCUGGUCGUUGGGUGAUCCCAUGACUUUUAGACAAGAAUCAAAUCGGAUUAAGUAAAGGUCAGAAGCCACCACCCUAAAUCAGUUACAUGAGAUUGCCAGACAGCAACCAACUUAAGUUCUUGCCUUCUCCAUUAAGAGUUUCUAGGGAUAAGGUCAUCUCUCUUCUUCUUCCUGGUACAGAGAGGGAGGCACCUUUUACAGAUAGAGAUUUACCUUACAAAUGUA
rnacentral:lncRNA from 1 species